AACGAACGCUGGCGGCAGGCCUAACACAUGCAAGUCGAGCGCCCCGCAAGGGGAGCGGCGGACGGGUGAGUAACGCGUGGGAACGUGCCCUUUGCUACGGAAUAGCCCCGGGAAACUGGGAGUAAUACCGUAUAAGCCCUACGGGGGAAAGAUUUAUCGGCAAAGGAUCGGCCCGCGUUGGAUUAGGUAGUUGGUGGGGUAAUGGCCUACCAAGCCGACGAUCCAUAGCUGGUUUGAGAGGAUGAUCAGCCACACUGGGACUGAGACACGGCCCAGACUCCUACGGGAGGCAGCAGUGGGGAAUCUUAGACAAUGGGCGCAAGCCUGAUCUAGCCAUGCCGCGUGAGCGAUGAAGGCCUUAGGGUUGUAAAGCUCUUUCGUGGGGGAAGAUAAUGACUGUACCCCAAGAGGAAGCCCCGGCUAACUCCGUGCCAGCCGCCGCCGUAA
rnacentral:rRNA from 1 species